CUACGAGUUACAAAGUUACGGAAGUUUUACGAGGUUUCCCCGUAUAAAGUUGUUUACCGAAAAUCGGUUACCGUACUUCAACUUACGCUGGUGACUAUUUUUUUCGUUGGUAUCUAAGCCGUGACUCUGAAGUCGGCUGUCCCAGUCGCAUCCGUACCUGGAUUGAUUCGCUCAUCAGAAAAUGAGCCCCCACAAGAAAGAUCCCGAAAAGGUAACUAAUAGUUAGAAAAAACAUAGGGAGCACGGUACGAAAUGCGUUGAAACUAUCAAUGGAUUUAAUUGCCCAAAGAGAUAAUAUUAUGCUAUUCUCCAUA